rnacentral:rRNA from 1 species
CCUACGGGGUGCAGCAGUGGGGAAUAUUGCGCAAUGGGCGAAAGCCUGACGCAGCGACGCCGCGUGAGGGAUGAAGGUCUUCGGAUCGUAAACCUCUGUCAGCAGGGAAGAACGGUCACUGUGCUAAUCAGCAGUGAAUUGACGGUACCUGCAAAGGAAGCACCGGCUAACUCCGUGCCAGCAGCCGCGGUAAUCCGGAGGGUGCGAGCGUUAAUCGGAAUUACUGGGCGUAAAGCUCUCGUAGGCGGUAUGUCAAGUCAAGGGUGAAAUCCCCGCGCUCAACGUGGGAACUGCCUUUGAAACUGGCAAACUGGAGUGUGUGAGAGGAUAGUGGAAUUCCAGGUGGAGGAGUGAAAGCCGUAGAUAUCUGGAGGAACAUCAGUGGCGAAGGCGACUAUCUGGCACAUAACUGACGCUGAGGAGCGAAAGCGUGGGUAGCAAACAGGAUUAGAUACCUGAGUAGUC